rnacentral:lncRNA from 1 species
UCCGUCUCCGCCAAGAUGGACGCGCACCCCCGGCUGCGCUGUUUACUCCUCGCCGCAGCACUUCCGGCUGCUCAGGAGGCCGUGCAGCGUCACUUCCGGAGGGCGGCAGGGGGCGGCUUGAGGGUCGCUGGCCGCCUUCUUGGGAAUUCGGGGCUUGUGUGCAACGUGCGCAGUUGGUUUUUCCCCUUUCCGUCUGCUGUCCGCCCGUAUUGCGGGUUUAGAGGUGCUGUUGCGCGGGUCUGUAAGAUAUCCUGAAUGCGGUGGGGCCGGGUGUGCCCUGCGGUAAGAAGAAGCCCAGCUGUGGCUCCGCAGGCUGCUGAGCUUUCUGUCAGACGCAUUUUGGAAAAUGAGUUUGGAAUCUUCCAGACCAGAAACCACCAAUCUAUCCCAUGGUCUCCAUCAACUCCCUCAGUGAGCACCAGCUCUGCGGAUUCCAAAGCUGCAUUGUGGGGAGAUCACAGCCAUGGCCACACACGCUUCAACCUGCAGCAGAAAAGUCUUGGUUAGCAUUUUGUCUGAGGAGUAAACAGCGCUCAGUUCCUCAGACCGCUGAGAGGAACGUGAGCUAUACAGAAGAUACAAUAGACAGGUUUAUAUUUUAGGCAAGGCUUUUCCAAGACCAUAAUUUUAUGUUAAAGGUGUUGAAGAUGUAGGGACUCCAAAUACACAGUAACACAAGUGUAAUCUAGGACAGGUGAGAGAGCUUUAUGGACAUCGAUUGUAGCGAGAGCAUGUUCAGACAGCGACUCCCUUCUGCCCCCCCUUUCUCUGCCCAGGGAUUGCAGAGCCCAGCUCUAUAUGCUGCUUCAGGAAAAAAAAAAAAAUAGGAGAAGAAAAGCAGUGAUAGCAAGGUUAACAAGGCCAGGAGCCCGGCCUGGGAGGGAUGGACUUCUUCCAUAGCAGUUAAUGCCACAGUGCUAGGAAAGAAUUGACCAGUGAAGAUGAGAAAAUAUCCAAGCAGAAAAGGCGAACGUGCAGGAGAAUAAAAGAUAAAUAAAAAUGGACGGUAGAAGUAACGGAGCCUCCCUCAUCUUUGUGCUAUCAUCGCAUCACAUGAAGCAUCAGCGUAAAACUGAGAAGGAACAGCCUCCGGAGCUGAGGGAGGGCGCGGGGGGCACGCUUCUGUCCCUGAGGCGCGCCGCCCCUAGGGGGCACUGCGACUCCGGAGUGGAGGUGGCGCCCGGCUGCGGCGCGCGGCGUGUGCAUGGCAACCGGAGCGGCCUGGGGCGGGCUCAGCGCGGCGGGAUGAACGAGGGCCUGCUGCGGGGUGUGAGCGCUGCCCUCCGUGUUCACUAUGAAGAUAUCCAGGCUUACAUCUGUUGCGAGAGAGAAGUGGAACACAAAAGAAUUUGCAUUAAGCACGAGCAUAACUUCCUUGCUUUUGGAAGACUGUGCGAAGGCCUGCACAGGCGAGAUCUGAAGUGACCUGAGCUCAGAGGCCAUGAUUUCUAGGGACUGGAACAGAUGUAAAUCCAAUUAUGAGUAAAAAAAUAGGGCUAUGGAAUAAAUAUUUCUCUUUAUUCUCCUCUUACA